rnacentral:rRNA from 1 species
UACGGAGGAUGCGAGCGUUAUCCGGAAUUAUUGGGCGUAAAGCGUCCGUAGGUGGUCAUGCAAGUCUGCCGUUAAAGAAUGGAGCUUAACUCCAUAGGAGCGGUGGAAACUGCAAGACUAGAGUACAGUAGGGGUAGCAGGAAUUCCCAGUGUAGCGGUGAAAUGCGUAGAUAUUGGGAAGAACAUCGGUGGCGAAAGCGUGCUACUGGGCUGAAACUGACACUGAGGGACGAAAGCUAGGGUAGCGAAAGGG